AACGAACGCUGGCGGCAGGCCUAAAACAUGCAAGUCGAACGAACCUUCGGGUUAGUGGCGCACGGGUGCGUAACGCGUGGGAAUAUCCCCUUCACUGCGGAACAACGUCGGGAAACUGACGCUAAUACCGCAUAAUGACUCCGGUCCAAAGAUUUAUCGGUGAAGGAUUAGCCCGCGUUGGAUUAGCUAGUUGGUGGGGU
rnacentral:rRNA from 1 species